ACCGGGAUUGCCUUAGUAACGGCGAGUGAAGCGGCAAAAGCUCAAAUUUGAAAUCUGGCGUCUUGGACGUCCGAGUUGUAAUUUGGAAGAAAGUAACUCUGAUGCUAGUUCCCUGUCUAUGUUCCUUGGAACAGGACGUCAUAGAGGGUGAAAUCCCGUCUGGCGGGGGUGCUAGUGUCAUGUAAGUGCUUUCGACGAGUCGAGUUGUU
rnacentral:rRNA from 1 species